rnacentral:rRNA from 1 species
CCUACGGGUGGCAGCAGUGAGGAAUAUUGGUCAAUGGGCGGGAGCCUGAACCAGCCAAGUCGCGUGAGGGAAGACGGUCCUACGGAUUGUAAACCUCUUUUGCCGGGGAGCAACGGGGUCCUUGCGAGGGCCCGAUGAGAGUACCCGGAGAAAAAGCAUCGGCUAACUCCGUGCCAGCAGCCGCGGUAAUACGGAGGAUGCGAGCGUUAUCCGGAUUUAUUGGGUUUAAAGGGAGCGUAGGUGGAUUGUUAAGUCAGUUGUGAAAGUUUGCGGCUCAACCGUAAAAUUGCAGUUGAAACUGGCAGUCUUGAGUACAGUAGAGGUGGGCGGAAUUCGUGGUGUAGCGGUGAAAUGCUUAGAUAUCACGAAGAACUCCGAUUGCGAAGGCAGUUCACUGGACUGCAACUGACACUGAGGCUCGAAAGUGUGGGUAUCAAACAGGAUUAGAUACCCCUGUAGUC